AGGCAGCAGGAGAAACACAGGAAGGGCACUAUAGGUGUUGAUAUUGCUUGAAGGUUUCCGCCAAAACUCAGGCUAAAAUUUAAUUUCUGUUAUGAGGGGUUCAAGGGUGGGAUCUUUAAGAGUUUAAGUGAAAUUCACCGCACCUGCCUUCCAAGUGCAAGGUCCAGAGUUCGAUCCCCAGUACAAAAAAAAAAAAAAAAAGAGUUUAAGUGAAACAAAUCAGAUACAUACGCUUAAAUAUCACACGGUUUCUCUUAUAUUAGAAACCCAAAAUGUAAAUAAAGACCAAAAUAACAGAUAAAUUUGUUUUUUUGAGGGAAGUUCUUGCAAUGCAGGUCAGGUUGGCCUUGAGCCCACUUUGCAGCCCAGGCUGGCCUCAAACCCAUGACAAUACUUCUACCUCAUCUUUCCAAAUGCUGGGAUUACAGGUUUGUGCCACCAUACCUGUUUAAAAGAUAGAUAGUAGGAAAUAGGGAAAUAGAUCUUUCUCAACUGAAAAGGGGAUCAAGAGAUAAAGGAAGGGAGAAAGGAGAGAGGAAGGGGAUGACAAAAAUAAUUAAGGUAUGUACAUGUACCAACUCUCCACAAGGAGUGUAAUCAUUACAUACUGCAAAUAUGUACUAAUAAAAAACCAAAACUCAAAAAAGAGGUAAUAAAGGCAUAAGGGUUGUGCUCUUAUAAAUGGGUGAUCAACCCACUCAUAGGUCUGUUAUGAAAGCCAGUUGGUCUCUGUCUCUUACAUGUACCCCUCUUGCCAUGUGAUGCUCUGAGCCAUCCUGGGACCUUGAAGAGUCCCUACCAGCAAGGAGGCCUUCACCAGAUAUAACCCCUUGACCUUGAACCGUCCAGCCUCCAGAACUCCUCCUGGCCCAUGGAGAAUCUACAUGUGUCCUUCAUCCGGCCUUUCUCUGUUAUUUCUUCCCUCCUGAUGUUCUCCAAGGCAGAAGAACAACCAAUAGCCUAUGAACCACUCUGGAUGCUGUGAAUGGUUCUGACUAAUGUGGAUUCUUCGGAGGCAGCAAUUUUAAAAUAUUACAUUGGAACUAUCAAGAAAGACUUGAAUUAGAAACAAAUCUAUCCAGUUACUUACCAAAGUAAUGGCUUUAUGUUGUUUGAUUUGAUAGGCCAGCCACUGAGCAUUACCAAGCAGUUGGUACCCAAGUCACCUAUAUGGAAAAGCAGUUUUCACCUAUAUUGACACUACUUAUUCUUUCUCUUCUCCUUGUCCUUCUUCUGUGAAUUUUUUUUUUUUUUUGAGACAGGGUCUCUCUAUGUAGUUUAGGCUGGACUUUAACUCACUAUGUACCCCAGGCUGCCCUUGAACUCACAGAUCCUCCUGCCUCAGCCUCUCAAGUGCUGGAUCUAUUGACACUUCUAAAGCAAAAGUAGCUUUAUCCUCCAUUACAUAUGAGUAUUGUUUUUAUAUUGUAAUUUUCCUGGUAGAUGAUCUAAUAAAUCUCCUUUCCUCUGGUUGGUGGUUUUUAUUUGGAAAAUCUAUAAGGAGUAAAGUCUUUUCAUGUACUACAUGCAAUGGAAUUUAGAAGUCAGAUUCAAGGCCUAGUGAGAACUUCUUCAACACCCUGACUAGUUAACACAUACACAGAAAUGUAAGGUGAGAAAGAAAA